rnacentral:tRNA from 1 species
GGUUUCGUGGUGUAGAGGUUAUCACAACUGCUUUACACGCAGCAGGUCGCCGGUUCGAUCCCGGCCGAAGCCA